GCCGCCGUAGCUCAAUUGGCAGAGCACCGGUUUUGUAAACCGGUGGUUGUCGGUUCGACUCCGACCGGCGGCU
rnacentral:tRNA from 1 species